AUUGAACGCUGGCGGCAGGCCUAACACAUGCAAGUCGAACGAGUGGCGGACGGGUGAGUAAUGUCUGGGAAACUGCCUGAUGGAGGGGGAUAAAUACUGGAACCGGUAGCUAAUACCGCAUACCAUCAGAUGUACCCAGAUGGGCUUAGCUAGAUGGUGGGGUAAAGGCUCACCAAGGCGACGAUCCCUAGCUGGUCUGAGAGGAUGACCGGCCACACUGGAACUGAGACACGGUCCAGCCUCCUACGGGAGGCAGCAGUGGGGAAUAUUGCACAAUGGGCGCAAGCCUGAUGCAGCCAUGCCGCGUGGAUGAAGAAGGCCUUCGGGUUGUAAAGUACUUUCAGCGGGGAGGCGUUACCCACAGAAGAAGCACCGGCUAACUCCGUGCCAGCCGCCGCGGUAAUAC
rnacentral:rRNA from 1 species